GCGGGAGUGCUGGAAUUGGCAGACAGGCAUGACUAAGGAUCAUGUAUCCGUAGGAUGUGAGGGUUCAAGUCCCUUCUCCCGCA
rnacentral:tRNA from 1 species